rnacentral:rRNA from 1 species
AUACGAAGGGGGCAAGCGUUGUUCGGAAUAACUGGGCGUAAAGCGCACGUAGGCGGAUUGAUCAGUUAGAGGUGAAAUCCCAGGGCUCAACCCUGGAACUGCCUUUAAUACUGUCAGUCUAGAGAUCGAGAGAGGUGAGUGGAAUUCCGAGUGUAGAGGUGAAAUUCGUAGAUAUUCGGAGGAACACCAGUGGCGAAGGCGGCUCACUGGCUCGAUACUGACGCUGAGGUGCGAAAGCGUGGGGAGCAAACAGGAUUAGAAACCCCGGUAGUCC